rnacentral:rRNA from 1 species
GAGUGAUCGAAAGAUGAAAAGCACUUUGGAAAGAGAGUUAAAAAGCACGUGAAAUUGUUGAAAGGGAAGGGAUUGCAACCAGACUUGCUCGCGGUGUUCCGCCGGUCUUCUGACCGGUCUACUCGCCGCGUUGCAGGCCAGCAUCGUCUGGUGCCGCUGGAUAAGACUUGAGGAAUGUAGCUCCCUCGGGAGUGUUAUAGCCUCUUGUGAUGCAGCGAGCGCCGGGCGAGGUCCGCGCUUCGGCUAGGAUGCUGGCGUAAUGGUUGUAAUCCGCCCGUCUUGAAACACGGACCAAG